CCCUGUAUCAAAAGCAGGGUCUAUGGAAGCAGGAGGACUUCCAAUGGAGACUCUCCAUCGAAAGGCAGGCAGGCAGGCAUGUGUCAGAGCCCUUCACACAGUGGGAUACUAAGUGUUUGCGUUGCAAAUAUUGGCGUUCUGGGGAUCUCAGUAAUGAACCUGAAUAUUUGGCUCACACUCACGGACAAUUAUUCAGCAUUUUCUACCACUGCAAAAAACAAAAGAAAAAAUAAAAAAGAACAACCUACAGUGUAGGAUUUACAUAUUAAAAAGACACAUUUGUCUAAAACAUACUCUACAGAAAAAUUUGUAUCUAUGAUUAUCAUUUGUUAAAGCCUUGCAUCAUACCAUAUUGUUGGUUCAGUACCACAAAGAGAUCAAUAUAUUCUUUUCUUCCUUUUUUGAAACAUAUAUGCUGUACAUGUUUUAAAGCAAUAUGAAUGAGAGGUUGUGCUUUUAGUUACUCACCACUAUAGAUCCAAGUGUGAUUUCACCUUCCGUUACCUACAGAUGACCCUGAGACUAGAUCCCUGGAGUUAUGGGCGGAGAUAUUUUGAGAGAUGUGUUUGUCUGAUGUAGGAUGCCAAGAAACAGGACCCAAGGCAAAACUGCUCAACUCUGUUAACUUCUGUUACUAUAAAUAAAGGCAUGUGCCUAGUUUUGAUACAGAA
rnacentral:lncRNA from 10 species